rnacentral:rRNA from 1 species
ACGAAGGGGGCUAGCGUUGCUCGGAAUGACUGGGCGUAAAGGGCGCGUAGGCGGAUUGACGAGUUAGGCGUGAAAUUCCUGGGCUCAACCUGGGGACUGCGCUUAAUACAGUUAGUCUAGAGUGUGAAAGAGGGUCGUGGAAUUCCCAGUGUAGAGGUGAAAUUCGUAGAUAUUGGGAAGAACACCGGUGGCGAAGGCGGCGACCUGGUUCAUUACUGACGCUGAGGCGCGAAAGCGUGGGGAGCAAACAGG